CCUGCUAAUGACUCAUUCUGGAUAUCACAGGAGCAGGAGGAUGGUUUUCCUAAAGCACUUUGGGAGUUCUUCUGUGUAGAAAACACUAGAAAUAUCAAUCAAAAUUGCUAUCAUUAAUCAGAAAAAUCCACAAGUAUUUCACGGCUGCUUAUCUCACAAGGAACUAUGGAAGCCCAGGUACCAAAAAAGGUGUUCGCCCAUGUCCGGGGUUGGAAUAUGUUCAAGUAACAGAUGUCACACUACUCCUGGGAGUCCUGGCUGUUUCCAUCUUAUGGACCUAUUACAAAGGCCGCCUGCUUCCUCUCCUUAUGGAUACCUAGGUCUCCGGAUAAGGGCAGCACGAGGGUUUUUCAGUCUCUUGGAGUGUGUCUGAAGCUGAACCGUUCCUAACAGAGCUACAGAAACACAGGAAUGGCUUUGCUGACUUCACCCAAUGUGCUGUGGCAAGAAAACCAUCACUGGGCCUUAGAGCUUCACAACCCUGUAUCUGCCCCCAUUCCAUGUGAGAGCUGGCUGAAAGCAGGCUGCAUACUUGGAACCCUGAGCUUGUAAACUUGGGUUAGCAGUCCCUAACCUGAUAAUUAGCAAUAAAUGACAAGUGAGAGAACUUGGCGCAAGAGUACUAUUACUGAUUUACUGAGAAACUGAAACAGCGUUAUCUGCCUAAUCCUUUCUGAACUAUUGCUGGCUGUUUAGGGAGACUUGGAAUAGCAAGA